GACAGGCAGUGGCACGAAGAUGGAGUCACAGCCCCAGGUCUUCAUAUUCCUGCUCCUCUGGAUGUCUGGUGCUAAAGGGGACAUUGUGAUGAUCCAGUCUCCUGAAAUCAUGUCCACAUCUGUAGGAGACAGGAUCACCUUAAACUGCAAAUCCAGUCAGAAUGUGGGUAGUAGUGUACAUUGGUACCAAGAAAAACCAGGGCAGCCUCCUAAACUGCUAAUCUAUGGUGCAUCCAAUGGAUACACUGGGGUCCCUGAUCGCUUCACAGGCAGUGGUUAUGAGACAGAUUUCACUCUCAGCAUCAGCAGUGUGAAGGCUGAAGACCUGGCAGAUUACUACUGUCAGCAGAGUUACAGUGAUCCUCCCACAGAUAGGAUGAAUCUGUCUAAAAUAGGACAGAAUUUGAAAUCAUUUACAAAGAAUACAGCAUCAUGA